GCCGUCGUAGCUCAGUUGGUAGAGCGUCACAUUGGUAAUGUGAAGGUCUCGAGUUCAAUCCUCGACGUCGGCUCCA
rnacentral:tRNA from 1 species